UACGUAGGGUGCGAGCGUUAAUCGGAAUUACUGGGCGUAAAGCGUGCGCAGGCGGUUCGUUAUGUCCGUUGUGAACGCCCCGGGCUCAACCUGGGAAUGGCAAUGGAAACUGGCGGGCUAGAGUGUGGCAGAGGGGGGUGGAAUUCCGCGUGUAGCAGUGAAAUGCGUAGAGAUGCGGAGGAACACCGAUGGCGAAGGCAGCCCCCUGGGCUAGCACUGACGCUCAGGCACGAAAGCGUGGGGAGCAAACAGG
rnacentral:rRNA from 1 species